ensembl:lncRNA
AAUACUGACAACAGUUUUGAUAGGAAGUUUCAGCAUGGCUAUGAUAUGGAGCAGGGAUGUGAAAACUGGCAAGAGGAUAACCAUGUCGUCACUGAUUUACACAUUGCUCUCUCUAAGAAAACCCAUCCAAAUGUAGAAGACAUAUAAGCUUUGGAGGGGGAAAAGAAAAUAUCUCAGUUCGCAGUUGCUCAGAAAAGACCUGUUAGUACUUGGCAGCUAAAUUCCCUACAGAGUCUGGGCAACAAAUGUGCCCAUCCAUGCUGUGCCCCACCCAGGAUCUGCACCAGCCCCCACUGGCAAGUUUUCUGGGACACAAAUGCACGGGAGCCAAAUAACAACAGUCUUUUAAGGACAGUAAGGCAAAAUACAGGAACUGGGACAUUUCUAACAGGUUCUCUACCAGCUUCUGGUACCAGACCCUCAUGUGGAGUGAAGCUACAAAGCCUAUGGAAAUACAUGAGGUGAUUUUAUUCUGCUUAGAAAAAAAGGCAAAGUGAAAGGCAUCUCCUCCCUACCCAAAGGAGCAAGUCAGGGAGUGAAGCCUGUGGGUGAAGAUCAAGACUGAGGGAAAAAGGGAGGUCCCUAGAUGAAUCAUGAGAAUCCCUUUUAAAACACACUCAGCUAUGGACAAGAGAAAACUGCAGCAGCUCCAACUUCCACCCAUUGCCUCUCAAAGCCCAGUGGCACUUCCUGAGAGCUUGGGGCCUUCACUUCCGGAGAACAAACCAGAACUGUUUCCACUGUGAACUUUUCUACUUUAAGAUUAGAAUGAAAAGUAGAUAACUGCAGAGUUGCCUUUUAACAUUAUCUAUGACCAUGUGCAGUGUCAUUAGUAGCCAAGGUUGCUAAUCUUAUGCAGUAAUUCUGUGCUUCCUUUGAAGAAACAACCUAGAGCAC